rnacentral:lncRNA from 1 species
CACCCCACAAGCACCGACCCUGCGGUGUCAAUAAACACAACAUAUGCUGCCAUUAAUGUGAAAAUCGUGCCCUCUACUCCAUUCAUCCCCUCAGCCUGACUGCCCCGCUGGGGUGGGAUAGGGGGGUACUGAAAGAAAGGUCAAGUGGGAAACAUUAACUACCCUUUUUUUUUUUUAUCUGCUCAGCCUCCACCCCCACCUCCAGCCUUGAGAGAGGGAAGGAAUUGGAAGGGCGUGGAUGGGAUAAGGACUCGGUGUUCGGAGACCCAAGCGCUCCACCGUGCCCACUAAGCGUUCCCGUUGGAAACAGGGUCUGGCCCCUUCUCUGAGGGACUCUCUCAGUCAGAUUCCCUGACACAGGACCGAAUUGGGGAGAAUGUUGGGAGGCGAGCGCUCGUAACAAAAGCCCAGCUUUACAACCCUCCGCCUAUUUCCAGCAUUGUGUGAUCAGAGCGUCUCCUUCUGUUAAAUCCCCCAUCACCUGGAGAAGGUAAAUUAAAACAAACAGCCACAAAAAAACUACUCUGCCAUGCUUAGAUUCAAGUUAAGGCCUCACAGCUGAAUUUUGUUAAAGGAAUCUUUGCUGAGUCCUCUCUGGACCUGAGUCCUUGACAGGAUUCUGUCUGGUCUUUGUCAC